UUCUCACCUGUGUAUAUUAUUAUUUAUUUAUUUAAAAACAUUUUUUAGUUAACAAGCAUGUUUUUCCUCAAAAACCAUUUUUUAAAAAAUCAUUGAUUUUUAUUCACCCUGCUUCCAAAGUAGAUAGGACCUGAAUGUUUAAUGUAAAAAAAGUGAAACACUUUUUGACAAACUUCUUUUAGACAAUCCAAAAGAACCAAAAAAUUAUACAAGUCAGUUAUUUCCCUCGUUGCAAGUCAUCUUUAGUGACUCCACUUUUUACAGUGAACUGAAAGUUCUUUCCCCAUCUUUUAAGGUGAAAAACUCAUGCAUAUAGGGAGUGCAGUGCCUUAGACAGUGAAAAUUUGUUAAAUAUGUAAUCUCGUCAGUAACCCUAUUUCAUAGAAGCAACUUUUACUGUGCAUGGUAGUGUGGUUAUUUUUAAGAAGGAAAUGAUUAACUUCACCUCAUUUUUCUGAUUAACCUAGAUCUUAUUGUGUGAGACAAAAAUUAAUUUUUCGUCUAUGUAAUGUUUGAAAAUGGAAUUAGCUGUUAACACUGAGAGUGUUAAUUUUAUAAGCAUUUUAUCACAGUUUCUCCUUGAGUCGAAAACUGACCUUUUUCACUCACUGCAUGACUGAGCAUGUAAUACAGAUUAAAUGCCCUGAAAUAAAACUAAAUAGGACUUUCUUCGGGAACCUGCAAGAAUAUCAUGUUGCUAUUUUGUUUCCAAAAUGCAUGAAGUUUCAAAAGUAUAUCUUAAGUCAAUGGGAAAGGGGAAGUAAAUGAAAAGCUAAAGUAUUAAAAACCUACUGAAAUCAUAACUAUGCUCAUUUUUUUGCAAUAUAGAGGUGUUCAAAUUCAAAAGCAAAUUUAAGAAUUCAAAACAUGUAUAGUGCUCUAAAGUGGACCCCCGCCCCAAGUGGAUAUACGGUUGGCGCAAUGAUUAGGGAGACAAUAUACAAAAACUGGAAAUCUGAAACUAUUUUUAAAUGGAAAAGCAGAAUGCUCCUGCAUGAUUAAAUCAUGUUGAGCCGUUUCCCAACAGAUAACCACAUGACUAUACUUGAUAAGAGUUGUUGUUUUUACAAAAAAUGUAUAUUAUAUUGCUGGGUCAGUGGUCCUAGUGCAGAACUAGUUGGAAUUCUCCAAGCUGUACAUUUAGACCUCAGCAGGCAGCACACAUCAGUUACGAUUUACAACACCCCCUGUUGCCUGUUUUUUCUUCACUGCUGAUGUUGGGGGAAUUCCUCUGACAACUGUUGCUAUUGUAGCAGUAGCUGACUUUAGUCUUUCAUAUUAUUUUUUAAAUGAAUUUACCUCUAACGUGUAAUUCUGAACAUUAUGAAGAGAUCCAACCUCAGCAUCUCAUGGACCUUAAAUUUACUUUUAUAGCCUCAUUUGAGUUUUCUUAUAGACACUGGGUUUAUACUGUAUUUGUUGUUGUUGCUAUGUACUGUUCUACUUUUAGAAAAGGUCAGAGGAGUAGUCCAGUGGCUUUAGAAAAGGUCAGAGGCGUAGUCCAUUGCCCUGGAUGUAGUCAUAAGAUGUCCAUUACAGAUGCACCUGACUAUUGCUUGAGAUGUCUCUUAGUGAGCCAUAGCUUGUUGAUUAAGGAAUCUAUGCUCAGAUUCCACUGCAAGCUGCUAGGUCUCAGGGUGAGCAACACAAACUUCUCUUGAUCUCAUAAAGGCUUCUGCUAAGUAGCUGAGAAGGCCUCAAAGCAUAAGUCUGCAAGUACUUCAGUACUUGUAACCAGAUGAGUCUUUGUUUUGGUACCAAAAUAGGCUUCAGGGCAGCUCCUCUGGCAUUUUUACAAGUGGCCAGCUGCUCCCUCCAGGUUAGUCAGGGGCACACCAGAGCUUUGGUAUGCUUUCAGCAUUGGUUAUACUCCAUUCCAAAUUUAAAUUUGAAGUACCACCUCCCGAGACGGAAGUCUACCUCUGUGAGAGACCUUCUAUCUCCACUGAUAAUACCUUAUCUGUCUUUCUUUGUGGAGAUCUCUUUCUGGUUACUUUAGCUUCAACAGCAUUGGUGGUGUUGGGACAGACCUAUGGCUUUGAGCUACAGUUAAGCUCGUAUAGCUUGAAGAACACAUUUCAUCACAUAGCUUUAGCUUUGUCAGUGACGCCUCCACCACAUUUCAUUGCUGGCUGAAACCCUGAUCUAGAGCCAGCUUUGAGCUUUCAGAGCCAUUAGUGUGCUGGGGUAAUGAUGCCAAUACCUACAUUUCUCUUUUCAGUGCUCUUGAUUUACUUUGAAAUACUUCAGUAUUUACUCCAAUGCCAUUGUUACAUUGUUUAUCCCAAUGGUGUCAAUGUUUUUGGCGUCAAUGUCUUUCACACUAUUAGGGUUUACUUAGAAAAUGUAGCCUAUGUUGUAUUUCCAUCUAUGUUCAUGUUUUUCUAGUUCUUCAAUUUGGAGUACUUCCUCCAAGUGCUUAAAACAUCUAGAAAAAGUCUCCAUGUCUUUCUGAUAAUUAAGACCCAAAGAAGGAUGUUUAUUUUUCCUCCCUCAGUGCUUUCCUAUGUAUUGUAUUAUAGGGGUAAUUCAGAAGUGAUGGAAUUGCUCCCUUUCCCUUUAAGGCUGUCUGUGGUAUCUACUGAUUGAGAGAACUUACACCCCAAACUUGACUCUGUUGGCAUAGAACUAUCAUUUGAUUGCCAACUGCAUUAUUCAGAUUUCUAAACUUUACCACAAUUAGGGUGAAGUUAGUAUUUCUGAGACUUAAUGAGGGCCUGGUUUCACUUAUUUUCUCACAAUUUGCAUCUCAUUUGCAUGACCUCUAGUCUACCUUUAUCUGUGUCAUUGGUUCCAACAUGGGAGGAAACCUUUUUCUUAUUCGAAGCGCCUGACCAAAGCUUGUCCAGUCAUGAAAUAUCAUCUCCCUACUACUCGUGGGGCAACAAACCAUAUAAGAUUUAGUAAUAGUAUAACUGCCUUACCCAUCUCAUUUGUAAGUAAUUACCCUUCUCUACUGCCACCUUUCCUUCUGUUCUAUGAUCCCUUAGUUCUAUAUUUACACUUUAUCAUCUUCACAUUGUCUUAAGACUUUUGGGAAACGGAUAACUUUACUAUAUAUACCAUUCCUAUUAUGUUGAUUACAUUUUUAUCUUCUGCUUUUAGAAAACUAAGCUCUUAUUUAAAUACAUUCUUUAUAUUUUGACUUUAUUUGUAUAAUGAAGCAGCUCAUAAAAGUUUGAUGUUGUACAGUGUUCCUGGAUAGUUCUUAGUAAUAAAGCCCUUACACUGUUUACCAUUAUUUCUGGGAUUUGCAUCAGAUUACCCAUAUUUACCUAUCAAUCCCUACUCUUCCUUCCUCCAGAUCCUAUAGCAGUACCUGUUAUGGUUGAUUUAUUGAAUUCUUUUCUGGUAGCACAGCUAUGGUUUCUGCUUUGAUUGCCCCAGAGAACAAAUGACUAACCUUUGAAUUGAUAGUCUUUUUAAUUAAGUUAAUCCAAACAACAGUUCAUCACAAUUCACUUUACUUGAUUUCUUAUGUAAAAUUUUAGUACUCAGUCAACAUUGCACAGUUACUCACAUUGGCAUCAGUGUCAGUUCUGUAUACAAACUGGGAAAAGUGAGAAUGUUUUUGUUUAACUUACUCUUAAAUAACUUUAUUUGUAGUUUUUAAAAAUGCAUCUCAUGUUUUAGUUGGAGUAUUUUAUGAUCCAAAGCUUGAAUCAGAAGUCCUCUGAAAAAAUGAAGAAAAGAAAAAAAAGCCACAAGUGCCAUGGAGUUAAACCGCCUCAGCUUGAACAGCCAGAAAAAAUGCCAAUCUUAAAAGGUGAAGCCUCGCAUUAUAACUCCGAUUUACAUAACUUGCUGAUCUGCUGCCAGUGUGUGGAUGUGAUAUUUUACUCAGAAGAUUUAAAGGAAGUAGUAGAAGCACACAAGAUUGUUUUGUGCUCUGUAAGCCAUGUCUUCAUGUUACUUUUCAAUGUGAAGAGUCCAGCUGAUAUUCAGGAUUCCUCUAUCAUAAGGACUGCACAGACUCUCUUUGCAGUGAACAGUGAGGCUGUGUUUCCAGUUUCUAACCGAGGUUCACCAUGCGGCCCACCGGUUCGAGUCACUGUUAAAGACUCUUUCUUCUGUUUUUGUUUGUCAGACAUUCUGCACUUCAUUUAUUCAGGUGCUUUCCAAUGGGAAUUGUUGGAAGAAGAUAUAAAAAAGAAGUUGAAAGACCCAGGAGAAGUUGAGCUUGUGCUUGAGAAAGUUAAAUGUAUCCUGAAAACUCCAGGAAAGGUGAAUAGUUCAAAGAAUUGCAGAUCUCAUCAGACAGCAAGACCCUUGCAGUUAUGUGAUACUUCUCUCAGGCUUUUCUUUAACACACAUGUGUUAGCUGAUGUCAUCUUCCAAAUACAAGGUGCUACUGUACCAGCCCACAGAGCAGUUCUAGUGGCUCGCUGUGAAGUAAUGGCAGCUAUGUUUAAUGGAAGUUAUAUAGAAGCAAAUAGUUUUCUGGUUCCAGUUUAUGGGGUUUCCAAAGAUACCUUCCUCUCCUUUCUAGAGUAUCUGUAUACUGAUUCCUGUUGUCCAGCCAGUAUUUUGCAAGCCAUGUCUCUCUUGAUUUGUGCUGAGAUGUACCAGGUAUCCAGACUCCAGCAUAUCUGUGAGCUUUAUAUCAUCACACAGCUGCAGAGUAUGCCUAGUAGGGAAUUAGCAUCUACAAGUCUUAGCGUUGUCAGCUUGCUCAGAAAAGCCAAGUUUCACAACUCUGACUGCCUUUCAACUUGGCUCCUUCAUUUUAUUGCCACUAACUACCUCAUCUUCAGUCAAAAGCCUGAAUUUCAAGAUCUUUCAGCGGAAGAGCGCAAUUUUGUUGAGAUGCACAGAUGGCCUUCCCAUAUGUACUUGAAACAGCUUGCAGAUUACAGGAAUUACAUCAACUCCCAGAAAUGCCACUGCAUAGUAAUGUAACCAGAAGAUUGAUUAUUCAUAAACUGGAGAAUCACAGGCUGGGAAUUACAUGGAGGCUAUUAAAACUGUAGCAGGGAUGAAAAUAAACAUUUAAGUCCUGCUGUACUCUAUAAUGUGCUUGCUAAUACUCUUUUCAUUAAUAAUGAAUUACUGUGACGUUUUAAAGGGAUUAAGAAAUAUACCAUAGGACAGCAUAAGGAGUUAAUCAGGCCUGGUCUACACUACAAAGUUAGGCGGAUGUAAACCGCAUGUGCAUGCCUAUACCUAAAUUUGUCUCUUAUUGAUGUAAGUGCCCCGUUAACAGCAAUGCAGUAACACUACCUCCCUGAGCAGCAUUAAGCCAUGGUUGAUGUACUGAGGUCGACGCAACACAAGUGUAAACACUGUGUUACUUAUAUGAAUUCUAACAGUCCUCCAGCAGCUGUUCCACAGUGUCUGACGCUAAUCUCUUUGGUCACAAUUGUGAAUGCCAUUGUCCAGGGGUCAUGGAGACUGGAAGGCCCUCCCUCUGUUUUAAAGCCCUGCAAAUUUUUGAAAUGGCUUUGCCUGAUUGUCCAACUGGAGAGCACACCUAGCAGCUCUCCAUUGUGUGCAGCUGUGCAGCUGACCAUGGCGGCUACAUGCUCCAGACACACUCCAGCUUGGAGUAGACAAGAGAUAUUGGAUCCUCUGGACCUGUGGGGAGAAGAGGCUGUGUAAGCACAGCUACGGACCAGCCAUAGAAAAGUAAACAUCUAUGACCAGAUUGCACAGGGGAUGUCGGAGGAGGAGUACAACAGGGGCCAGCAGCAGUGCUUUGUGAAAGUGAAGGAAUUUGGUCAGCCAUAUCGAGAGGCCAACAAUCAUUCUGGUGCUAACCUGCAGACCUGCCACUUUUACAAAGAGCUGCAUGCCAUAAUUGUCAGAGACCCUACUGAUAUCCCGCACAUAACCAUGGAUACCUUUGAGGACCCCAGGCCACAGGUCCCUGGCAUGAACAGCUAGGAGGAGGAUGGGGGACAUGCGACAAGGGAGCCAGGACCUGUUUUGAGACUCCACCGCAAUCCAGUCAAUCCCAGCAGUUGAGCACUGGUGAGCUCAAUGCAGGGGAAGGAACUUUGGCUACUGCCAUUGCGGCUCUGAGAGGUUCCCCCCUCCGCACCUGAGGAAAGCGUGAGCUAGAUGAGGAGAAAGAGGAGGACUCGGGAUGACAUGUUCAAUGAGAUCCUGCAAGCCAGUGCUGCGUGAGACCGUGAGAAAAGGGUCUGGAGGGUGAACAUUACAGACAGCCUGGGGAAGAUAAAAACGGAGAAGAGAGAGGCCCAGGAGUCCCAGCAGGAAAAGGAGAGGGAGAUGCACCAAGACAUAAUGGAGCUUCUCCAACAGCAAACAGAGAUGCUGCAGACUCUUGUGGGCUUAGUUUCAACAAUCCCAGGUUCUCCUCCCUUUGCAGUCCAUGGCAAACUCCAUAACAGCACCUCCCUAUGCUCUCCCACCUACAUUCCAUGUGGUAUCAGGGGCUUUAUCCCUAUCCCUCCCACUCCAUCCCAGCAGACAUUAAGGACAACCACAGCCUCACAAACUGAUCUGUGAAAUCCAUGGUUGCUGUAUACAUAGAUUAAUGGACAGGAAUGUUCUUUCCGCUGGUUUUUCUGUUUCAUUAAUUUAUUAAGUUUUUAAUGUAUUUGCUUUUAAAUUGCACAGAUUUUUCUUUGCACUGGUUUUGCUACUGAAUAACAUUCUAUUUGGAAAAUAAUCUUUUAGUUCACAACACAUGCUUCAGAGUGCCUAGCAAUUCUGAAAGCACCUACUUAAUUAUUACUGUACAGUGUGGCACAACUCAUAGGAUCAGUGACAAACCGCAUAUAAUCAUAAAUGUACAGCAAGCACAACAAAAUUAAGAGGACAUUGACAGUGCUAUAUUCAUAGAUGUACACUACACAAUUCCUAACAGGCCCCAAAACAGCAAGGCCAGGUAGAGCAGAGUACAUCACACGGUACUGUGGCUCACUGUUAAAAUGGUCUUCAAAGCCUCUCUGAGCUGUAUGAUUUGGUGUUGAGAUCUUCUAAUGGCUCUUGUGUUUGGCUGUUCUAACUCAGCAGACUGCCAGUCCACUCUGGCGGAAAGUUUUCCCCCUUUGCUUCCCUGAGAUUAUGCAGAACACAGCAGGCAGCUAUAACCAUUGGGAUGUCUUUUUUUUUUUCACUGAGAUCCAGUCUUGAGUAAACAACACAGGCAUCCCUUCAGUCUUCCAAAAGUACAUUCAACUGUCUUUCUGCACCUGCUAAGCCAAUAGCAAAAUCUUUCCAUGGUGCUGUUGGGGUGGCCAGUGUACGGCUUCAUGAGCCAGGGGAGUCAAGGGGUAGGCUGGGUCUCCCAGGAUUGCUAUUGGUAUUUCAACAUCACCAGUGGUAAUCUGCCAGUUGGGAAAGAAAGUCCCUGCUUGUAGCUUUCUGAACAGUCCUAUAUUUUUAAAGAUGCAAGGAUCAUGCACAUUCCUUGACCAGCCAAAGUUGAUGUCAGUGAGGAGACCCUAGUGAUCCACCAAUGCUUGCACAACUAUAGAAAAGUAGCCCUUUCUGUUGACGUACUCUGUGGCAAGAUGGGCUUGUGCCAAAAUAGGGAUAUGUAUGCUAUCUUUGCUUCACCACAGUUCAGAAAUGCCUUUACUGAAAAUCCUUCCAGCAUGUCCUGCACAUUGCUGAGUCACAGUACUGUAUAGCAAGAGAUGAUUAGUGGCCUUGCACACUUGCAUGACAGUGGCCCCCUUAGUGGAUUUUCCAACUCCAAAAUAAUUUUGCACUUACCAGUAGCAAUCUGACAUUGCAGGUUUCCACCGUGCAAUCACUACUUUCUUCUCCACCAUCAGUGCAGCUCUCAUUUUGAUGUCCCUAUAUUGGAGGGCUGAGGCAAGCUUGGCACACAGAUUCAGGAAUAUGGCCUUGCGCAGCCGAAAGUUCUGCAGCCGCUGCUCAUCAUCCUACGCCUACAUUAUGAUGUGAUCCUACCAGUCAGUGCUCAUUUCUUGGUUCCAGUUUGAACACCAGCAACAACCUUGAAUUUGUUCUUGCUAUGUCCCAGAGCAGUCUGUGCUCCAAGAUACUGUUGUGUUCCCUGUUUAUUCGUGGAUGUUAUGGCUCUGCAAACAUCGGAAGAUCAUGCGUCCUGUGCUUGCAAUGCUUGUGACAAUAGUGCAGAGCUGUGCAAGUGCCAUGCUUCUGUCAGAAACGGUGGACAGUGAGGAGGGCUGCAUAGGUUCAUGGGAAAAAGGCAUGAAAAUUAUGGGAUAUAGAUAACAUUAUGGCAUGGAUUGAAUAAAAACAAUUGCAAACUGGCCCCUUGCCCCCUGUCACUGCUCUUGAUGUGUUUCUGCCCCACCAUACAUUGCCAAAACAUCCUAAAAGACAGUGAAUUGGACAAUAGUGGGUUGCACUGAGAUACCUACCCUGCAUUGACACCAGCACUCGUGAGUAUGUGUAAUACUUACGCAAGAAGCCAAGUAUGCAUACACAUGAGUGAUGUACUAACAAUGGUGGCUUUAUGCUGAUGUAACUUGCGUCAACCAAAGUUUGCAGUGUAGACAUGGUCUCUGUUGUUUAGCUGCAACCUGUUUUCCCUAAGGAUUCUUUGCUGCAAUACUGGUGGUUUCAACUUCUAGAUGAGGUGUUGAAAACAUUUUAACUUUUGUAAAUCUUUUGUUUAACCUUCUAUGCGUGAGAUUUUCAAUGAAGUGUAAGAGAGUUCGGUACUCAGCUUUCUGAUGCUCUUUUGAAUAUCCCACCCUACCUGCUUAUUUUAGCCUAGGAUCAUCACAUGAUCCUUGUAACAUAUUUAUGGGCUUUCUAGGUAAAGAGUAUGGUCAAAAUAUUAGGGUAAGUGUAUAACUAUUCCCUGCAUAAGUUGCCCUUACAAUCAUAUGAACUGGUAUUUUCUCUCUAGCUAGGUGCUUUUAUGGCCCCAUCGUUGUACUGUCUGAGCGCCUCCUGUGUAUUUAAAAAUAGAAAUAACAAUCUUCCCAACCUGUAGGAGAAAAAGCUGGUUUAAUUUUUAGGGCUGUGUGUGUGUGUGUGUGUGUGUGUGUGUGUGUGU